ACAGCCACAUCACGUUGAAACAUCGGUUCACUUACGAUCACCGAAGUUAAGCAACACAGAACCUGGUCAAUACCUAGAUGGGUGACCGCUAAUGAAUAACAGGUGCUGUAAG